CAAACAUGCGACAAUCAGUGUCGUCAGAGCAAAUGGAACAUAUCCUGGAGUCAAUUGCUCGGGAUUGAGCUGAUCGGAGUUCAUACAGACGCGAUCAGCCACAUAGAAUUGACGGCAUAGAACCAGGAUGAAUAUACUACAGGUGUGUGUGUUAGUUUGUCUCUGUGUGAGUGGCAAUUCCCUUCCACCGGAUAAGAUGCGUGGAUUUCAUAUAAUAAAAACAAGGAGCAUUGAUUUGAAUAAUGCUCACGGUCUUGCUAUGGAGAGUAGAUUGGAGAAAUCUGUGGAACCGACGGGUUAUCGUUUGGAAUUGGAGCCGUAUUUGGAGGACGCUAUGUUUAAAGGGCAUGUUAGGAUAAAUGUGACGUGGCUAGAAGAUUCUCAUACAAUAAACGUCCACUGUGCCCACGAUAUUGAAAUCACUGAGACGGAAGUACAGGCGUAUCUAUCAAGCGAUUCAGAACAAUUGCAUACGAUUCCUAUCAAGAGAGUGACCAUGGAUGUGAAGAAACCAAUCGCUUUAAUACGACUUGAAAAAACGGUACCGAAAUCUUCAAAAGGGUUCAUUGAUUUUAGUUUCAAAGGUAAUAUGCAAACGGCUAUCACGGAAGCAUUUUUCAAAACUACUUAUUCUACAGAUCAGGAGGUUGAGAGGAUAGUCGCAGGGACACAACUGCGUCCGAAUAACGCGAGACGUAUGUUCCCAUGUUUUGAUGAACCUGGAUACAAAACUCCCUUUGAACUGAGCGUCGUGCGACCGCGGGAUAUGGUAGCACUUAGCAAUGUUCCUGUCGCUAGGACAGAAGAUAUUAACGAUGAACCAAACGCCGUCUGGGAUCAUUUCGAGAGGACUCCCCCAAUGUCAACGUUUACGCUCGGCCUUGUCAUCGCUGACCUCAAACAAUUUGGCAGUGCCAUACAUUAUGAAGACGAAAAUGGAAACAAUAUUGAAAUACGUGUUUGGGGUCGUCCAGAAUUUGUAGAAAUGUUAGAAGGUCUCAAUGAGAAAGUGGCUCAAGUGUUUUCUGAAGUCGCAAACUUCUGGCAAGUUCCGCUACCAUUACGCAGAUUGGACAUAGUGGCUUUACCAAACUAUCAAGGGGUAAAGCCCGCCGAUAAUUGGGGUUUGAUAGUUUUUAAGGAAAGCGAUUUGUCCUCACGAGGCUACUUGCAGCUGUCCCAGGAGUUGUCCUACCAGUGGCUAGGCGCUCUCGUCUCUCCAGCUUGGUGGAGCGACGCUCAUCUUAACAAAGCACUAGUUGGAUACCUCGCUGCGGAGAUUGCAUUUAAAAUUAACAAUGGUUCAGAGAUGGAAGGAAAAUGGCCGAUGACGGUUCUUUAUUCUCUGUACUACGAGUUCAGUAAACGAUAUCCACACUCUCGGAUCACCGGCAUGAAACAAGAGACGGCUUGCACCAAAAUAGAGUUAUUGUUCCGAAUGUUCAAUUAUACUAUUGGUGGAGACACUUUUAGGAAAGGAAUGAGGAAAUUCAUUGAGUCAAGGAAGUUUAAGACUUUUACUGGUGAUGAUAUUUGGAAUGCCCUCAACGAAGCCGCAUUAGCAGAUGGCAAGAUUCCGAAAGAUAUUAAUAUUAAAACAGUAGCCACCAGUUGGAUAGAAAAAGACAGACUUCCAGUCAUCACAGUUAAGAGGAAUUACGAAACCAAUACGGCUUUUGUAACUCAGAAAGUGUAUCUUCGCGAACGUCCCCACGAUCUGCCUUCAUCCAAUAAGAUGUUGUGGAGCGCUCCGCUGGUCGUGUGUCGUUCUGACAGACUCUCCUUCGAAGACUUCACGCCUUCCUCCUGGAUCAGACACACAGACCUCAACCUGCUCAACAUGCCGGAUGACAAGCACUUCAUCAUCGUCAACCCUGAAGAAAUUGCCCCAUUCCCAGUAAACUACGACCAGGAUAACUGGAAUCUUCUAUCAAAUUAUCUACAAAGCGAGAGCAGGGUCAACAUACCAGAGCUCACACGAGCCAAGCUUUUACACGAUGCUUGGAACCUGGCUUACGCUGGAGAACUUUCAUUCGCAACAGCUUUUAAUAUGACAUUAUUUAUGAGACACGAAAGAAAUCAUUUAGUGUGGGAUCCAGUGUUCACAAUGAUCGACCACAUCGGAAGGCGUAUUUGUCCGUGCAUUCUUGAUAAAUUUAGAGCGUACGUUCGCACGCUUUUGACACCUCUAUAUAACGAAAUGGUAAAAGACGUUAGAGACGACGGAGAUAACAGAAGAAAGAGUCUGUACUCGUUGACCAAAACCUUCUUAUGUCAAGUUGGCUUCAAGCCUUGUAUUAUGGAGGCCCAAGAGCAGUUCAGUAAUUGGAUGCAGGCACCAAAUCCUGAUGAAGGAAAUCCCAUUUCUAAUCAGUACAUCUGUCCGGUAUUCAAAUGGGGAACGCAAAAGGAGUGGGAUUUUGGACUACAAAGGGUUAUAAACUUCCCACCAUCGAGAAAACAAAGCGAAAGAACGUAUCUCCUUAAAACAUUAGCCGGUUGUCCAGUGGAUGAGAAGAAAAUAGAGAAAUUGUUAAAUAUAACGAUUCUAGAAGGCAACGGAAACUUUACGGAAACGGAUUUAUUCUUAAUAUUCAGUAUGCUGACGGGAAAUUCUCAAGGUUACACAACCUUAUUCUAUUUCCUCAACAACAAUUGGGACGUGCUCAAAGAAAAAUUCUCGAGUAAGACAAAUAUUUGGGAUAACAUGAUAACGUCCGCGACCUCGCAGUUCACGACGAAGCCUGGUAUGAAUCUGGUGGCUAUAAUGUACGACAAUCACAAAGGCGAAUUCGGUUCAGCCGAGCAUAUUAUAGAGAAAUCGCUGAGAAACAUUCGCGAGGAAACUAAAUGGUCAGAAGAAAACAUUCCUGUGAUAGAGACAUGGCUAGACGACUACCUCUCAAGAACCGAGGUCAAAGACGACCAGGCGAUCGACGCUUAAUAAUAUGUUAAUACAGACAGAUUAUAUAUAGUGUUUAUAUAUGUUAAUACAGACAGAUUAUAUAUAGAGUUUAUAUAUAAAGAUUCGUUAGUCUAGAUAGUAUUUUAUUUACACCCAUGUGUAAAUUACAAAGCUGAAUACAUACUAUUUAUAUGAUGUGUGAAUUAAUUAUAUAUGUUUUAUAAAAAAGA